rnacentral:rRNA from 1 species
AACAGGGGAAGGAUUAUUG